GGAUAUUUUAACUGCUGAACCAGUGAUUUGGAUGAAAUAUUCUCCUGCUUGACGUUUCAGCCGGCUUGUACAUGGGAUCUUUUAAAACAAAGUCAAAUAUAAGGCUUAAUUUUCAGUUUUUUCACAUUGAAAUGUGCAAGAUUGGUUAUGUUGCCUUUGAGGGCGUAUGGUAGCCCAGAAUUACCCCCAUGAUGGCAUACCAUUUGCAAAAGAAGACAACCCAAGGUAUUGCAAAUGGG